rnacentral:RNase_P_RNA from 1 species
UCAGACGGCCGGACGGCCGCGGGCGGAAACGUCCGAGGAAAGUCCGGGCUCCAUGGAGAAACGGCGCCGGGUAACGCCCGGCCGGCGAAGUCCCGAAAUGGACGAGCCGAGGGAAAGCGCCACAGAGAACGAACCGCCGCCUUCGGGCGGCAAGGGUGAAAAGGUGCGGUAAGAGCGCACCGGCGGACGAGCAAUCGGACGCGCAUGGCAAGCCCCGCCGGGAGCAAGACCGAAUAGGGAUCGCGCGUCGCAAGACAGGCCGCUCCAGGCCGAGCGAUCCGGGUUGGUUGCUGGAGGCGGCGCGCAAGCGCCGUCCAAGAGGAAUGGUCGUCCCUUCGCAAGGAGGACAGAACCCGGCUUACAGGCCGUCUGACGCA